GCAGGGCGUGAUGGCACACGCCUGUAAUCCCAGUAACUUGGGAGGCUGAGGCAGGAGGAUCACAAGUUCAAAGCCAGCCUCAG
rnacentral:sRNA from 1 species